CUAAUUAGAAGUGUCUUAAAUUGCAGUCAAGAUCCCACGGCAAGAGGACUUUUGAUAAAUACAUUCUGGCCAGUAGGCAAGUGCGAGGGUGGUCCGUGCAGCAGCUCUGGAGGAGUUCUAUCCCAAAGCUAUACUCAACACACAGGUUUCCCACUGACAACAGGUCGCUCCCUUGCCUUCUUCCAGAAGAAUCUGAGAAGCUUUGCUCCUUGAGUUUCAGUGCUGCCAAGGUGAGUAGGAAAGGCUGCUCUUCUCAUUCAGCUCCAGCCCACCCAGACCUGCUGGGCAGUUGAUCCACUUUCCAAAAUAGGAGGACACACGGACAGGUGACUUCAUGGUCAUGACGAUUUUCUUCAAUGUGAGCAGGCGGUUUGGCUAUGUUGCCUUUCAAAACUAUGUCCCUUCUUCCGUGACCACGAUGCUCUCCUGGGUUUCCUUUUGGAUCAAGACAGAGUCUGCUCCAGCCCGGACCUCUCUAGGGAUCACCUCUGUUCUGACCAUGACCACGUUGGGCACCUUUUCUCGUAAGAAUUUCCCGCGUGUCUCCUAUAUCACAGCCUUGGAUUUCUAUAUCGCCAUCUGCUUCGUCUUCUGCUUCUGCGCUCUGUUGGAGUUCGCUGUGCUCAACUUCCUGAUCUACAACCAGACAA
rnacentral:sRNA from 1 species